AAUGAACGCUGGCGGCAUGCCUUACACAUGCAAGUCGAACGGCAGCAUGACCUAUCUUUCUAGGUUGAUGGCGAGUGGCGAACGGGUGAGUCAUGCAUCGCAACGUCCCUUCUAGUGGGGGAUAUCGUAGCGCAAGUUACGCUAAUACCUCAUAUCCCCUGCGGCGUAAAGCAGGGUGCCUUCGGUCCUUGCGUUAGAAGAGCCUCCGAUGUUGGAGUGGCUAGUUGGUGAGGUUAAGGCUCACCAAGGCAACGAUCCGUCGCGGGUCUGAGAGGAUGAUAGGCCACACGGGGGCGGAGACAGGGCCAAGGCUACUAAGGGAGGCAGCAGUGGGAAAUGUUGGACAGUGGGCGGGAGCCUGAUCCAGCCAGGGCGAGUGAGUGAAGAAGGCCUUCGGGUUGUGAAGCUCUUUCGGCGGGGAAGAAAUGGCACUCUCUAAGACGGGGUGUGGGUGACGGUACCAGCAUAAGAAGCACCGGCUAACUACGUG
rnacentral:rRNA from 1 species